GACGAACGCUGGCGGCGUGCCUAAUACAUGCAAGUCGAACGCAGUGGGGACGGGUGAGUAACACGUGGGUAACCUCCCAUCAGAGGGGAUAACACUUGGCAACAGGUGCUAAACCGAUACUGAUGGAUGGCCCCGCGGUGCAUUAGCGUGUUGGUGAGGUAACCGCUCACCACGGCCACGAGGCAUACGCGAACGGAGAGGGGGGUAGGCCGCCAGGGGACUGAGACACGGUCCAGACUCCUACGGGAGGCAGCAGUAGGGAAGUUUCGGCAAUGGACGAAAGUCGGACAGAGCAAUGCCGCGUGAGUGAAGAAGGUUUGCGGAUCGUAAAACUCUGGUGUUAGAGAAGCGUGAUCUAACCAGAAAGCCCCGGCUAACUACGUGCCAGCAGCCGCGGUAAUUC
rnacentral:rRNA from 1 species